UGACCAAUAGGACAGCUGUAAACAUGCUCUAACGAGGCAGGAUUCACCAUAUGUUAUCGCUAUUGUUGUUCCUUCGAAACAUAUUUCGGAAUAAUCAUACUUUGGUAGCUAGAUAAUUCAUAUGUUUAGUCAGAACACUUUGUACGAUCCACAUCUGUUUGAUAUGAAGUCUAAUGAACUUGGUCCGUUGAAACAUCGACAUGCAGGUUUACUUUAAGAACGCUAGCUGCUAGCCACUUAUCUUGGGAUUUGUGACGAGAUUGGAAGCGGAAGGAAAUUCUAAGGGAAAGGAGGAAAAAUCCGUUCUGGGCUGCCAUGGGCAAGUUGGAAUAUAUUUUUUCGCAAUGUUAUGCGACUCGUGUGAAAGAGGGGUUCUAUUUUAUUAAUAUGAAGUUAUAUGAAUCGGUUGGUGUUGUAGGUUAGACAUUUUAUAAUUGUCAGAAGCUAACUAGCCACGUAUUGAUAGUUAGACUUAUAAAAUGGCUGGCCCAACACCCCGGCUCUCUUGUUGUUGAGUUUGAGUGCCUGCUGGGCACUGGAUUCCUGCCCUGCUCCAUGCUCUUGUCCAAGGGGGUCAGACGAAAUCCAAAUCCUGGAUUGCAAUAGGAAAAGGUUGUCAGCGCCCCCCCUGGAUCCACCUCAUGGGAUAACUCUGUAAGUAGCCCAAUAUUAGCUAGCUUAUCGGUAACAAGCUAGCACCUUUGUUUACAAGCUGCAGUGGCUCCUCAAGCUACAUGGCCUUGUUAGUUUGCUAGCGAGGUCUAACGUUAUAUGUCAAGUUCUUUAGCUAGAUGAAACUGUUGUAUGUGUAAUGUUUACUGUUAAUUUUUGUUGUUUUUCACUUUAUAUAUUCACUUUGUAUGUUGUCUACCUCACUUGCUUUGGCAAUGUUAACACAUGUUUCCCAUGCCAAUAAAGCCCUUGAAUUGAAUUGAUAUAUAUGUGGAUCAGUGGAGGCUCCUCUGAGGAGUAGGGGGAGGACCAUCCUAAGUGAAUUUCAGAAAAAUUAAAACUGAAACAGAAAACGAUACAAAAUAUAUGAAUGUCACCAUAUAAUUGAUUUAAAACACACUGUUUUGCAAUGACGCGCUACAGUAGCCUCAACUGCAAUCUCUGGGAUAGCACCAUGGUGUAUGCGGAGGACCGCUAGUUUCCAUCCUCUGGGUACAUUAACUUCAAUACAAAACGUGAGACUCAUGGUUCAUACUCUCACCCAAAGGUUUAUACAGUAACUAUGAUGACGUCCGGUUCGAACCUAUCAGAGCUCUUGUAGCAUGAACUGACAUGUUGUCCUCUCAAAUGAUCAUAUUUUGAGUCUAGUACUGAAAGCAUAAGCUAAAGUUAGCUAGCACUGCACUGCAUAAAAUGUGGUGCGUAAGUUGACUCAGAGAGACCAUAGUUGAACAGUUUGGAACAAAUUUAUUUAUUUUAAAAAUGAAGAAGCAAGAGGGAGAGAGCACUAGCUAUAUUUUGUAUUUAAUUAACUUUCACUUACUUAGUUAGCGAAAGCAGCUAGCUCGUUUAGCCUACCCAAACAGAGAGGGGUGCUAUGUUAGCUAGCUGGCCAAAGCUAUCCAGCACUGGAACUCUUCCAAGUCAAGGUAAACUUUUAGUUUUAUAAAUGUAUUGGCACCGGGCCCGCAGGUAUAAACUGCUUGCUGCUGUAAACUGUACUGCAUGAUUGUAGCGGGUUUACUAACACAUUAGUUCUAGUAGUUAUGUUGGUUAUGACGUUAGCUAAUAUGAUGUAGACUGCGUUUAGCCGUUAGGGUAUAACGUUUUGGCUUGGAAAGUUUUUUUUUCGCCAGGUCACAGACAGCUGUGUUGUGCACUGAAGUCCACAAGUGAAAGGAAAUGGUGAGAGGAGGAGAGCACGUAGAUGUCGAAUGAAUUAUACAACUAGCAAAGUGAUCAUGCUGUUUGUAUGUGGCUGCUAUGGAAGUGAACUGUGUUUGUGUGAUCAGGGUAUUCAGGUAUUAAUUACGCAGAUUCUCUUAAAAUGUUUCUUAAACUGAAGCAAACAGAAUGAAACGGGGAUAAACAUACCUGAAUUUGUCCAAUAGAAACUAACUGUUUGGACUAAUAAUUACACCCUAGAUCAACUAGAUGCAGGCAAGUGUGUGCAUAGGCGGUAUUGAAUGAUUCAUCCAGAUCAGUGGCGGUAAGUGCCUAUCAUAUUCCAUUUUCCCAGCUCAGUGUAACAUCAAUAGAAUUAGGCUACUUCAUGACACUCAAUUUCACUACACUCAUCAUGAGGUUGCUACAACCUAGCCUACGAAGAUCAUUUGAGUUUUUCUUGGAAAGAUGCCAAAGCAGCAGCAAGGUCCACUGAAAGGUGUCCAUGGAAUUCUCUGUAAUAACUAAUGGAAUAUUUUUCAGCACUAUGAAUCAUAAUGAUCCGACAACUGUUCCAUACCUUGGAGAAGUUACCCCAAACAUCACAACACUCUCAUUAGAAUCUGGCACUACGUCCAACCGGCCUCACAACCGCAGGCCACGUGUUACCACGCCAGCCCAGGACCUUCACAUCCAGCUUCUUCACCUACGGGAUUGUCUGAGACCGGCCACCCGGGCAGCUGAUGAAACUGAGGAGCAUUUCUGUCUGUAAUAAAGCGCCUUUACGGGGAGAAGCUCGUUCUGAUUGGUGAGCCAGGCCCACCAAUGGCUGCGCCCCUGCCCAGUCAUGUGAAAUCUGUAGAUUAGGGCCUAAUGCAUUCAUUUAAGUUGACUGAUUUCGAGGGGCUAUGGGCAUGACUGACUCAAAUGAAUUAAAUUAGUUGAAAGGUUUGUUAUUUUGACUGAAUGAGUUGAUAAGUCAGUAAAAAGAGCUGAACUUCCCAUCACUAUGCAAUAGGGAAGUUUCGGAAGAAAGGAAUCACCGGCCGGGGGACUUCUGUCUUACCCUGCAUUCUUUAUGCCAUGGUUUUGCCAUAAAUACACAUUGAUGGUGUAUUUAUGUAGAUCAAUGUUGAUUAUUAUGUACAUUACUGCUCAUUGUGCACAGAGUCCACAACCGGAUCUUGGAGCUGUGGAUGCAUCAGCUGCAUCCAUACAUCUCCUUGGAGACACUUGACCUGUCAUCUAACUCCAUCUCAGAGAUCAAGGCUGGAGCCUUCCCAACCAUGCAGCUGAAAUACUUGGAAAACAAUGCCACAGGCAGGACUCACAACUAUAGUAGACAACUUCUAAGGAGGGAGGAGAUGGUUGUUUCAGCUACAACCAAAAGGAAUUGAAGCAAUAACAAGAUCAGUGUCCUUGAACGUGGAUGCUUUGACAACAUAUCCAGCUCCCUGCUGGUUCUGAAGCUUAACAGGAACAGAAUAACACUGCUACCAUACAAAGUGUUCAGGCUUCCCCAGCUGCAGUUCCUGGAUUUAAAGCGUAACAAGAUCAAGGUGGUGAAAUCACUGAAGAUGCAGCGGAAUGGCAUCACAAAGCUGAUGGACGGUGCUUUCUUUGGGCUCAACAACAUGGAGGAGCUGCGAGUUCUUCUACCUUUUCGUCUUUUAUAAGAAAGAUCAGUACAGUAUUUGCACAGAUAGGAGGAGCCAGAUGUCUCAAAGGAUGUAUAAAUCUGAAGCAUCUGUUCAUCAAAUAUGGUGAUAAGAGGAAGUCCAGUGAAUAUGAAUAUGGAGCUAGAUAAUACUUGGCUGACAUUCUGCAAAUUUUCUCAUUUUGAAACGUUUGCUCCCAAUUCAGUUUUCUUUCCCAAAACUCCAAUGAUACGAACAGAGUGCACUAUGUUUAGUAGACUUGACCCUUUGCCAAAGUAAAAAACAUUUGCAUUGUUUAGGAGUGUUACAAACGCCAAUACUUUCUCGCUAGAUUGUACUUGGUUAUGCCCACCUCCUUGCUUGUUCUGCCCACUAUGCUUCAUUUGCUCGAAUUAGAAACGACACCGAUGAGAUAGUGAUCUCUAAGGGUUGGGUGAUAUUACGAUACAAUCGGAAUUCGACUAUGUUUGACAGACAUUGUCGACGACAACAUGAUGUGACGGACGUUAGUUUUUAUAUAUUAUAACUUUUUUUUUUUACAUAUUUGAACAUUACUGGUACCACCGUAGUCGGGCAGAGCACAACAGUGCAGUUCGCAGCCAAAUGACCUACCUAUUCCUAUUUGUCAUAUCCUUUUUCAAUAAAUAUGUAGGUAGACUUAGCCUACUAUUUAACAUAA